AGCGGCGGACGGGUGAGUAACGCGUGGGUAACCUGCCUCAUACAGGGGGAUAGCAGUUGGAAACGGCUGCUAAUACCGCAUAAGCGCACAGUACCGCAUGGUACGGUGUGAAAAACUCCGGUGGUAUGAGAUGGACCCGCGUCUGAUUAGGUAGUUGGUGGGGUAACGGCCUACCAAGCCGACGAUCAGUAGCCGACCUGAGAGGGUGACCGGCCACAUUGGGACUGAGACACGGCCCAA
rnacentral:rRNA from 1 species